rnacentral:rRNA from 1 species
GACGGAAGGUGCAAGCGUUGCUCGGAAUCACUGGGCGUAAAGGGCGCGUAGGCGGCCGAUUAAGUCGGGGGUGAAAGCCUGUGGCUCAACCACAGAAUUGCCUUCGAUACUGAUUGGCUUGAGACCGGAAGAGGUCAGUGGAACUGCGAGUGUAGAGGUGAAAUUCGUAGAUAUUCGCAAGAACACCAGUGGCGAAGGCGGCUGACUGGUCCGGUUCUGACGCUGAGGCGCGAAAGCGUGGGGAGCAAACAGG